AUCCUCCGCGCCAUGGACACCAGCGACCUGUUCGCCAGCUGCAGGAAGGGGGAUGUGGGCCGAGUGCGGUGAGGACCUCGCAGUCCCGGGGAGGGUGCGGGAGGUGGCCGCCCUCGGAACGCCUCGGGCCCUGGGACGGGCGGCUGGGCGGCCGCGGAGAGGCGGGCGCCUCUGCCGGGUCACAGCCCUCGGAGCGCCCCCGCGGGGCAGACCACCCGGACCCCCGCCGCAGCCCCCCAGCGGAAGCGCGCUGGGGCGGGGACACUGAUGGCCAUUGACCCCCGGAGGGCUUCCUGUAAGAAGGGACUGCUCAGCGGAGGCCCGAAGGCGCAGAAGUGGGCGGAGAGAAGGCGGGCCACUGUUCGCCCUGGUAGGGCCCGGACGUCAGACCCCCCGGGCGCAGGGCGCGGGUAUAGGCCUGGGACUCCAGACGUGGCCCCUUUCUCUCGUGCUCUCUGGACCUGGCGCGGGGAACACCUAGAGCCCAUAAUCGGCCUCCGGUCCCUGAGGAUUCGGAAACUCCUGACGCAGCUAAAGUGAAUCUGGCGCUGAGAUGCCCCCUCCAUGGGCCGGACGCGGAGGGAAGGGGUGCCCAGUACCUGCUGGAGCAGCGAGACGUGGAGGUGAAUGUGCGGGACAAGUGGGACAGCACCCCCUUGUACUAUGCCUGCUUGUGUGGGCACGAGGAGCUGGUACUCUACCUUCUGGCCAAUGG
rnacentral:lncRNA from 1 species